GACGAAAUUUACCUUGAAAGACUCCUGAACGCUCUCUACUGGUAUCGUAUACAAUUUGGUUGGAGACAGCACCGGAGAAUUAAAAGACCGGGAGCAUCGAGUGCUGGGAAUAUAUAUAUAUAUAUAAAUUUUUUUUUUCCUAUUUUUUUUAUUUUUUUUCCUAUAAAAUAUACUUUCAGUUGUGUUGAUGUAACACAGGAACUGGGUAUUCUUUCCACAAGUUGCUAAUUAGUGUAUGAAUCUCCAAACAAUGCUUAAUAUCUACUGUAUUUUCUGUUGCUUUCUAAAUAUUUUUGUGUGAAAUACAAUUCUCUGCUUUCAUUUAUGAAACCAUGAAAAGAACCAUAUUAACUUAAUAUUAAUUUGAAAGCUAUUGUGCCUUUAUUUUUUAUGUUUGGCAAAUACCAGUUGCCAUAUUAGUAUUAUGCACACAAAUUGACUUAAAGGGACACUAUAGUCACCUAAACAACUUAAGCUUAGUAAAGCAGUUUUUGUGUAUUGAUAAUACAUCUGAAGUCUCACUGCUCAAUUCUCUGCCACAUAGGAGUUAAAUUACACCUGUUUCUGUCCUUGCAGCCCUAGCCACACAUCUACUGGCUGUGACAAACACGAAAAAAAAAAAGUUUUUAUCUCCCAUCUGUAAAUUGAACUUUAUUCACAUACAGGAGACCCCUACCCUACAGGGUCUAGCAAGUCAUUAACAGAGCAUAAGAUAAGAGAUAUAUCAAAUUAAGCAGAAUUUGCAAUAAAGCACAUGUAAAUAUUAGAUGACUCUUUACAGGAAGUAUUUAGGAAGGCUUGGUAAGUCACAUGUAUAAGGUGUGACUAGGGCUGAAUAAACAAAGCACAUCUAACUUCUAAAUGACAGAGAAUUGAGCAGUGAGACUGCGGGGGCAUGAUGGGCAUUCAUUACACUAAAGUUGUUUUGGUGACUAUAGUGUCCCUUUACUAUUGUUGAGUAAUGGCAUCCCACGGGUUCACGAUUUGCCUUACAAAUUGAACUCUUAAACCAUAUGAUAGAUGUGGAUGUUGAAUAAUAAUGUGCACAGAAUACAGCACAAUUCACUAAGGCUUCCUGCUUAACCCACCUCUUUCCUAUCUUCGUCUUCUCCACUACUCUACUCUACAGCAGCAAUGUCUAGUAAGAAACACCUUUAUAUGGGGGAAAAAAAUACAAUUCUGCACAUGGUUUUUAUCAUUCGAAUUUGUUUUGUAAAAUCCGUGUGGUUCUAUCACUUGUAGAAACUGUGAAAAUGAAAUGUGAGUGUGUAUUUUAAGUGAUAAGGUCAUUAAUUUGUCCUGGAUGUGACUACAGUACUAUGAAUACAAUGUAACUACAGUGGAUGUUAGUGCUAUAGUCCGUAAAAACCAGGGCUGUGGAGUCGGUAACAAUUGUGGGUUAGUGACUCUGACUAAAUGUACAGUAUAAGCCGACCGCCAAAAACUAGAGGUGUUCUAUAGGUUUAGGCCUAUAUUCGACUGAUCGAUAAUGUAAAUCGUUUGAACUUCUGCUAGCCCUAUGGUUUUGUACAAUUGUGAUUUGGGCAAAGACUAGGCAGAAAUAAACAAAUAGAAAAUUAUAAAUGUUUUACUUACUACAUUCUGUUAUGAUAGGUUAUUUUAUUAUUAUUAUUAUUAUUAUUAUUUAUAUUCGCUUGUAGUUUACUACCUUUUGCUGGUAGGUGGUGUGUAUGUGUGCAAUAGUGCAUAUCUCUCCAGCCAGUCAUCCGUGUCUUACAUACAAAUUAUACGAUACCACAAGAGGUAGUGUCAUCUGCUAGAUCUCCUGAAAUUUGUAAUAAUAAUAUGUGUAUUAAGAGUACAUAAUAGUUCCUCAGCAUAUUCAGUUGAGUGAUAACAUUAAUGGUAAGUCUUUAAGUAAUUCCAUAUCUUUAGAAGAGAAGUAAGCAAGAGAUAUAAGAUGGGUGGAAUCAUUGCAUGUCUCAGGAAGGCAUUGGCCCAAGGCCUUCUUUUCAUCCUGGUCUAGGUAUUAACAACUUUGUUUGGCAUAUUGGUCUACCCUCUUAUAAUAUUUGUUUUAGCUUAAUAUGUCGACUUACUUGUAUGGUAAAUUGUAAUACAGUAAUUAUAAUGAUAUAUUAGUGCCCACAUUUUUUAAAACCGUUUGGAAAAUGUGAAUUUCUGAGAUUUGAUGGAUCAUAACAGCUGUCUUUUUUUGAAUACUGCUAUAAAAUUAUAUUUUAUUAGUUUAAUUUUAUAAAGAAUGUAAUGCAACCACUUUAUUUGAAACAAAUUGCAAUUUUAAAAGAAGUUAUACAAAAAAAAACAUGGUAAAUCAUAUUUCAUACCUGCUUACUAUUUAGUACAGAGUUGGGAAACGUGCCGCAAUUACAGCUAUAAAAUGGCGUCCCGUGGAGUGAACCAGGUGUUUCAGUUCAUCAGGUGAUGUAAUGUGAAAUGUUGUGUGAUUGCCUCUAUAAUUUGGCUCAAUUAUAUCACACGUAUUUUUGCCAUUUAGAGUACCGUCAGUCAUACAAAAUCUGUCCACAACAUUGGCUGUCAUGACACCCUAGGUGAUAACGCUAACUGGGUGCUUUAUGGCAGCUGUAAUGCAUUCAGAGGGCAAAUCCUCUCCAAUUUUUCUUCUUACAUACUUUAUUCCUUCACCACCAAUUAUCAAUAUUAUUGUCUCUUUACUCCAGAUGACCCUAUCCCAUUGUUCCUCAGACAAAUUGACAUCCCUUUAGUGCAUUCUAAUCUCUUCCUUCUUAGGAUGUAGAAAUCAUUUUCUCCUUGGAAUUCUAGAACUUUAAAUAUUUGUCUCUGCGUCUAAAAGUUCUAGCACUCAUCUUCAAACCACAUUGCGACAAUUAAUUUUUAUUUAACUCAGGUAAUUUUCUUCUGCCACUUUAAACACAGUAUCUUAAUUAUUCUAUCACUACCCUGUGCUGUGUACCUUUUCCCAAUUUGGUUUUGAAUUGAAUUGUCAGAUACCUCUUGCACAGCUUAGGUUAGAUUUCCUCAUAAGGGUUGCUUUCUUUAUGCAGUGUUAUUUUACAUUGCUUUCUAGGUGAAAAAAUAUUGGCCAAUGUAAUGACACUAACACAAACGAAUAGGAGUCCUAUUAUUUGCUCUAAUUAAUACAUGAAUUUGGGAACUGACUAGUACUAAUACCUUCUUUGUUUCAUGCUGUGUCAUAGUAACACCUGAUUGACAAUCCAUCUCAUUGGUCUGUUUUAAGUUAAAGGGAUCCUAUAGUGCCAGGCACUAUUGACUCUUGGAGAGCCCCCCAUCCUCGGGUCCUCCUCUCUCAGCCACUUACCUUAAUCCAUUGCCGGGCUCCCUCGGCGCUGGUGACCUCUCCUCCCCCGCCGAAAUCAGCUCCCGAGUGGAGCCGAAUGCACAUGUGCAGCCAGUGGCGUGCGCGCAUACAAACCCGCCCGUAGGAAAGCAUUACCUAAAGCUUUCCUAUGGGGAUCUUAUCUGAUGCUGGGCUCCAUCAGAUAAGUGUGAUUUAUUCAGUGUAAAUCACGGAAGCGGCCUCUAGUGGCUGACAGGGAGACAGCCACUAGAGGCUGGAUUAACCCUGCAGUGUAAACAUAGCAGGGUUAAAACUAGGGGGACCUGGCACCCAGACUACUUCAUUGAGCUGAAGGAUCUGGGUGCCUACAGUGGUCCUUUAAGGACAUUCACUUCAUGUUAUAUAAGGCAAUUGUGUUUUCUAUUACUGGUUAUUUAGAAUAAAGAUAAUUCAACACAUUUGUUGCAUUACAUUGUGUAUUCAAAUAUCUGUCUAGUGAUAUGUAAUGUUAUGGCAUUAUUCUAAAGAAGUAUACAAUAAAUAGUGGUGAGAGUACACUGUAAAUUAAAUUAAAAUUUCGGAACCACUUUUGAAAAAGGCAAACCAGCCGAACGCGUCAAGUGGAGGUGGACUAUGUUUAAUUUUAUUGUAAGGUAUUCUGGCAGUUUGUUAAAUAAGGUCUGUGAUUUUAUACAUCUAUUGGAGUUUCCUUUGGGCUGCACCUUAAGAAAAAGGCUAAGCUGUGAACCCGAGUAUCCAGAUCCACCAUUCCUUAUGCUAUUCAGCUUUUCGUCUGAGCCAGCUUGUGGAGUGGCUCAGAACCAUGUGAGUGGAUCCAACAUUGAUUUGAUCAAUUAUCCAGUUUUAACUCUGUUACCCUAUGUGCAUGUCCCUUUUUGGUUUUAGAUUCAUCUAUUGUAUGUGCCGUUUGUGGUAACAUUUUAUUUACUGUGUGCUCCACUAUUUAUUGUAUAAUUCACUGUUUUCUGUGUGUUUGGAGUGAUACACACGGUGAUUGUAGCACCCUUUGUUCUGUGUUUUACCAACUUUACUUUUUAUUAUUUUCUGAUUAUUCUAAAGAAUACGCAUUAAACAUUGAAAAUUUUGUCUCCCCAAUAGUUUUCCACAAUUUUGGCCAUGACUUUCAUAUAAUAUAAUGUUAGUCGUAGGUAUUUUAAAUUAAGGAGUCAAAGGUUUUGAAUGCAAACUCCACAGCUUUUACCCACUUAAUACUCAAAAUAAUGCCUGUCUUAAAAGGGCAUAAUGGAUGCCCGUACAACUUUCAAUAUGUGAAUUAGAGAGACUUUUUCAAUCCUUGCUAUUUUGGCCCAAAAUUUAAUAUUCACUUUGAAUUCCAGACAAUUCUUGUUUUAGUGAAUAACGCUGAAAUUGUGUAGAAUUAUAAUUGCAUCUGAUCUAAUCCCAGUUUGACCCUUAAUUUGUUUUUAGUGAAUUUUCUGUUCAAAUGUGUGGAUAUACCCUAUAAUCUGAAACUCCAUUCAAUUGUAAACCUUAAAGGAACACUCCAGGUACGAAAACCACUACAGAGCACUGUAGCGGUUAUGCUGCCAGGAAUACUCUACUUCCCCACAAUGUAAGUAGUCAAACAGUUUGAUUUCCUACUGGGGUCUGCUGGUCCCUGCCUCUAUUAGAGUUGGAAGCUGAUAAGAAAAAAUUCCUACCCACAUGGUCCUAUUUUUAGGGUUAAGCUUGAUUUGCCCCUUAAGUCUUCUCUAUCUUUUAUUAGAGUUGGAAGCUCCCUGCCUGAGCUAAGCCCAGUGUUGCAGGUCUGAGUUUAUUGGCUGAGAGCGAUCAGCUGAUGCUCUGUUAGUAAGCUGGCGCUGCACUGCAGGGGUUAGCUCAGGAGAGCUAUAAGAAGAUUCUAGCAGGAGCUUCCGACUUACCAUAGCAAAAGUGGAAAAACAAUAAGUAACUAAUCAUUUGUUUUUGUAUGAUAUGUGCACACUUGGUAACAAUCGUCAUUGUACUUUUACUAUAUUAAAAUAAGCUUCAACUGCCUUGUUUCCUUUUAACAAUGUGACUGAAAUCUGUGUUUUAUGCUUUGGUUAGAGUUUGUGUUUUUUGUACAACUAUAUAUGAAGAAUAGAAUUCACUGUGUUUAAUUGAUAAACUGUUGCAACCUCUGUGAGCAUCUGCUUGUCAUGCAUUUUGCGACAGUCCAGUUCUCUUUGCUUUUAUAAGCACUUGCCAUGAUGUUUCCAUAUUUACAUACCCCUCAAAUUCUAUUACUCUUUACUUUUUUCUUUUGGAAGUGUAUCUUAAUGGAGUUAUCUUAGAGUUUCUAAAAGGCAUCAAAAUUCCCGUAUCAUGGCAGCCCUUAAUUGGAAUUCAGUUGAGUAUGCACCUGUAGGUAUAAGGCAGGUGGGUAUUUGCAGUACCAGCAGAGAACACAAAGUAAGUGCCUUACUUCUUGUAUGGUAGCUUUGUUGGCAAAUUUAAGUUUUGAACGGCAGCAUCCGACUUCUGAAAUUAACUUUCAGGAAGGGCAGAGUGUAGUAGGGCAGGAGUGCCACUGAUUUGUCUUGUGCAAUCAGCUAAUGCUCUAAGCAAAUCAGUAGUUCUCCAUUCAUAAAAAAGGGCUGCUGAUUUGUGACCAGUGCAGAGUGUCUCUUUAAAGGACCACUCUAGGCACCCAGACCACCUCAGCUUAAUGAAGUGGUCUGGGUGCCUGGUCCAGCUAGGGUUAACCCAUUUUUUCAUAAACAUAGCAGUUUCAGAGAAACUGCUAUGUUUAUGAAUGGGUUAAGCCUUCCCCCUAAUCCUCUAGUGGCUGUCUCA